UUUCCUAUUCUGCUCAAAACAUUUAUAACCUUGGAACAAGUUUAAUGUGUAUAUCCUUCUGAUCAGAGCACAACAUAUUGUGCUUGCAGGGGGAAAGUAAUUUCAGGGAUGGCUUUUAUUACAUGUCUUAGCUUUGGUUGUCUCUUCUGUACAUUCCAUUCAUCUCAUUAUUAUAUAACCUCAAUGUCCAAUGAAGUAGAUUGAUCCCUCUUCGGAAUCUUUUUCCUGUUUAAUAAAAAAAACUGCAUAUUGGGACUCUUCAAUCAAUUGAAAUCAGUCAAAUCAUGGGCAAAUGACCUUCAAGAAUUGUAAAUUUAAUAGAGACAAAUGACCAAAACAUGAAAAUAAUGGUUUUUGUUUGUUGUCUGAAGCAAGUUCAAAAUGAGAAUUCCCAUGUUAUUGCAAGACUUGACUAGAUGAAAUCCUUAGCGCAUUCAUAUUUUGUAGCUAGGUACUAUAUAAUAGGUUUCUAAUAGGGCACAUUAUCUGACUACAAUUUUGGAGAGAUGCAGUCAUUGUAGCACUGCUUAACUAAUAUCCACUUUUUAAACAAUGAAAGGUUUUUUUACAUUACUUCCUGUCUUCACUUCUAAUUUUUGCAGUUUUAAUCGUGACUGGAAAAAAAUAGAAGCAUUUGUUGGCUCAAAGACAGUGAUCCAGAUAAGAAGCCAUGCGCAGAAAUACUUUUUGAAAGUUCAAAAGAAUGGGACAAGUGAACAUGUCCCGCCCCCUCGGCCCAAGCGUAAAGCAGCUCAUCCAUAUCCGCAGAAAGCCUCUAAAAAUGCUCCUCUGCUGUCUCAAACAACAGUUCCAUUUCAAACUUCCUCCUGCAUACUUGAGCCAGGAUACGCUCUUGGAACAGAAACGUCCUCCAUACUUGGAAACUCAAGUGCAAGUGCAACAGUAUCUUCCUGGGCUUCUAUCUCUGUCCAGCCUAAUGCUUCACAUAUAACAAAAGUUAUGCCAGACUUUGCUCAAGUAUACAGCUUUAUAGGCAGUGUGUUUGAUCCAAGCACAGGUGGUCACUUGCAGAAACUAAAGGAGAUGGAUCCUAUUGAUGUCGAAACAGUUUUAUUGUUGAUGAAAAAUCUCUCCAUCAAUUUGAGCCGCCCUGAUUUCGAGGACCAUGUUACUCUUAUCAUAUGAUGUUGGCAUAAAAGAACUUAAGCCGGGAAGUAUGAACAGCAUGCUUCAAGCUGAUAAACCCAUGAGUGCUCCAUCCAUGGUGAAAGGUAACUAAUGGUUAGAGCUCCCAACUUGUAUGUAAAUUAAUCUUAUGACUUGUAUGAUAUUCUCAACGCAAGUUGUCAAAUGGAGAAUUCAUCCCCACUUCGCCGUCAGUAUAAUUGAAGCACACAAGGCCUUGGUAUUCAAAUAAGCGAUUAAGAAGAAUUUGUUACGGGGUUAUUCCUGUACAUUUCUCAGCAACCCCAAUGCUGAGUGCAAGUUUUGGCUCUAUAACAGUUCUGAGAUCUGUGAGUCAUGUAAAUUCUCAAUAGCCAUCUAUCAGUGAAGGCAUUCCAGAUCCAUUACCAAUAUACUUGUGAUAGCGUGCAAGAAGACUACCCUAGUUUAAAAUCUCUCUCUGAUGCUUUUCAA